GACGAACGCUGGCGGCGUGCUUAACACAUGCAAGUCGAACGGAAAGGCCCUGCUUUUGUCGGGUGCUCGAGUGGCGAACGGGUGAGUAACACGUGAGUAACCUGCCCUUGACUUUGGGAUAACUUCAGGAAACUGGGGCUAAUACCGGAUAGGAGCUCCUGCUGCAUGGUGGGGGUUGGAAAGUUUCGGCGGUUGGGGAUGGACUCGCGGCUUAUCAGCUUGUUGGUGGGGUAGUGGCUUACCAAGGCUUUGACGGGUAGCCGGCCUGAGAGGGUGACCGGCCACAUUGGGACUGAGAUACGGCCCAGACUCCUACGGGAGGCAGCAGUGGGGAAUAUUGCAGAAUGGGCGGAAGCCUGAUGCAGCAACGCCGCGUGCGGGAUGACGGCCUUCGGGUUGUAAACCGCUUUCGCCUGUGACGAAGCGUGAGUGACGGUAAUGGGUAAAGAAGCAACGGCUAACUACGUG
rnacentral:rRNA from 1 species